rnacentral:rRNA from 1 species
AUCAGGUAGGGACACCCGCUGAACUUAAGCAUAUCAAUAAGCGGAGGAAAAGAAAAUAACAAUGAUUCCCCUAGUAACUGCGAGUGAAGAGGGACAAGCUCAAAUUUUAAAUCUGUUAGGUAUCACCUGGCCGAGUUGUAAUUUGAAGAAGCGUUUUCUGCGUCCUUGGUCAGCCCAAGUCCUAUUGAAUGAGGCAUCAUGGAGGGUGAUAAUCCCGUCCGGUUGAUCAAUGCGUUUUACGAUACGCUCUCAAAGAGUCAAGUUGUUUGGGAUUGCAGCUUAAAAUGGGAGGUAAAUUUCUCCUAAGGCUAAAUAUUGGCGAGAGACCGAUAGCGAACAAGUACCGUGAGGGAAAGAUGCAAAGAACUUUGAAAAGGGAGUAAAAUAGUGCGUGAAAUUGUUGAAAGGGAAACGAUUGAAGUCAGUCGUACCGACGGACAAUCAGCCUUUUGAGUGCGAAUCUGUGGCUCAUGAGGAGGAAACCCUCAUGUUUUGCAUAUUUGUGCUCUUUGGGUGUAUUUGUUCGUAUGGUGGGUUAACAUCAAUUUUGGUCGUCAUAAAAUGACGGGAGGAAGGUAGCUUUGGUCUCGUAUUGAAGUGUUAUAGCCUCUGGUAGAUGUGACGACCGGGAUUGAGGAUUGCAACGGAUACCCUUUUGGGCUACUCGCCUGAUCUCUGAUCGUUACUCUGGUGCCGAAAGCUUGCUUAUGUCAUCAAAGUUGAUGGUCAAAAGGUUAGAACGGGUUAAAUUCGUUAAGGAUGUUGACGUAAUGGCUUUAAACGACCCGUCUUGAAACACGGACCAAGGAGUCUAACAUAUGUGCGAGUGUU